UUUAAUUGCCGUUGGAAAAAGCAUCACAUUCAUUGACCGCCUCUCGUCUCUUCUGAGUCGCCUCGAAUUCUCCGGCUGCGACGCCGCCGCCGAUGCCGGCUGCUCAUCGUGGCUUCAGGCGCCGCCGACGUCGAAGCAAUCUCCGUGUUUAUUUAAUCGAUGAGGCGGAAUUCACGUCACCAUCGACCUCUUCACGGACUCGCCGUCUGAUUUCGUUGACACCGAUUCUCGCCGAUCGGUGAGAGGCGCUCCAGGAUCCACUGGGCAGUCGCUGCCGUCGGAGUCUCACUUCGGUCGGUGUCAUACUCCAGCCAUCUCGGCUGCAUCGUCACUGUCAAUUUCGUCGGACUGCUGUGGACUUCGCGGCUUAGGUUAUUUGUAAGUCAGUUUGAGUGCCGAAUCGUUCGUGCUGCAUCGGAAAAUCAUUUAGUCCAUGAGCUUGGGAAGAGGUUGACUGCAAGAGCAACUAGCUUCCUAUAUUGGACUCCCGGCCCUGAUGAAAAAAAGAGGAAUAAGCUUCAUAAAAAGGAAUUUUAAUGCCAGAAAAGGAAGGUAGGAAGGUAAGACCGAUCUUGUAAAGAUGACAGCGAAAAUGGCAGUAUAUAUUUAAAGAAAACAAUUUAAUCGAUCAAUAAAAAUUGAAUGUUGAAAAGUUUCGAAGAUGAUCUAAAUUGACAGAGUAUUAUGUUUUUUAUUCUGAUAAUGAUACACUGGUAGAGGUUUGCUUUCUGCAUUUUGGUAUGUGAGAAGGUACCGGGUUUCCAGCAGGUAGGACAUCCGAGCUUUUAUUGUAGUCGUCAAAUCUUGGUCUUUGCGGAUUCUGGUAACACUUCUUCUCAUCUUUUUCGGGUGUCAUUCAAACCCGUAUAUACUCAACUUGUGAUGUUUCCUACUUAUACAUGGGUGCCUAACUGCUAUUUAUUCUCAUUCAUGCCUGAUAUGUUGAUUUUAUAGAGAAUUUAAAUGUUUUUUUUGUAAUUGACAUGUUAUGUGAUUAAGAGUAAAUUUCCGAGAGGUUGUCUGCCAUGGCUCUCUAAUAUGUGCAUCUCCCUAGUUUUUAAUGAUUUCAUACACAUCACCAAUUGAUAAACAACGGAUAUUAGCUUCAUAAAUAUUCAAAAAUUGCCCUAGUACUAUGCUACUUGCUAUUUGUGUAUGCAUGCAAGAUCUUCUCUAUAUUGAUUGUCACUACUUUCACCACUUUUUAUGGGUUAUUAGUGUAGGCUCCAUUUCUCUCAAGGGUUGGUCUGUAAACUUGUUGCUUACUAACUUCUGGAGAACUAGGUUUCCCGUGCUUCAGAUAAAGUGACAAGAGUGUUCUUUGGUGCCCGAUUUCUUGAGCUAAGGAGAGAGAACUAUUCCGGUUUUGAAAAAUUAAUUGAAAAGCCAUAGGGCCGAUCGACUGAAUGAGAGCUUUAUGAGUUGCAAUCUUGUUGACAUUGGUGCAUAAAAAUGAUUUAGGCAAUAGGACAAAAAGCCUCAUAUCCAAAUUAUCACAUGCCUAACCCUACAUAAACCCCUAGUGAGCCAGUUUGAGCCCCAAAAGCCUAAUUUCUUUGUUGAAAAUUUUGAAGUACUAUAUUAGCCUGCUUAUUAUAUCCAUUUUUUGGCCUAUAUUUUCUACCCUAGUCACUAAAAAUAAAAUGCUAGCACAUUCUCUGGAGGGUAUUUAUGGUGGCAAGAAAAAGAUGGAAAUCCUGGACAAUUCAUCAGGUGGUUUUCAUUUAUACUGAGAUACAAAGUGAAAAGUUGUGUCUUCAAGCAAAAAUAAAAUAAAAAGGCAGCCUUUAAUGUGUAAAAAAAAUCCAAGGCCAGAAAAAAAAAAGGCAGCCUUUCAUGUGUAAAAAAAAGCCAAGGCUAGAAAAAUAAAAGGCAACCUUUCAUGUGUUAAAAAAAAACCAAGGCUAGUAAAAAAAAUAAAAAUAAAAGGCAGCCUAUGAUGUGUAAAAAAAAAGCCAAAGGCUAGAAAAAAAGUGAAAAAUAGAAAUCUGCUCAAAAGUAGAAAAAUUCAAGUUUGGGGUGUUGAGCUGUCAGAAUUUUGCACGCAUUGAGUGAGAUGUGAAGGAUGUUGUGAAGGAUGCUAUGAUGGAUGUGCUAGUAUUUUAAGAAUGUGAUAAGCUACUUAACCAAAUAUGAUCACACCUUUACCAAAAGCCCCAUUACAUCCAAAUGAAUAAGACCUUUUGAUUUAUGCAUCAUAUUGACUUGUGAGCGAUGAAUUUUGCUUGAGUUUGGGAGAAAGAUCUUAUGUGCUUAAAAUAAAGAAUAGCCGGAAGAAACUCUCUUUAUGAAUUAGUGACGAUGGUUUGAGACUCCCAAUACAUAAAUAGAACUUACAUUGAAGCAUUGGGAUGCCUAACUCUUAGGGAAUUAGUUCGUGUACAAUUCUUGUUCUAAAGUCUUACCCGCGAGUGAAUUCGGGGUCAACCUAAUUUCUCUAAAUGAUUUGUGUGAUUUGACAUGACUUGAAGUAGAGGAUUAUCUAAUGUCUUGUGAAUGUGCUUAUUUGUCUAAUUUGACUUGAAGUAGAGCAAGACUUAUGUUUGGUGGUAUUUGAUGUGUGUGGGUAAUUGUUUAACUUGUUAUUAUACAAUGGAUGGAAUGGAGGGUAGCGUACUAUUGCUCCAGUUCAGUUUUGACCAUCUCACUAUUUAUUCCAGUGAGUUGAAGGGUAUAAAGAUGCAACCAAUAUUUACUUCAAUAGUCAAAACAUUUAUUUUUAUAAACCUAACUUUAGUUCGAUAUUUAGUGUGUCAUUUCAUACUAAAGCCAUCAAUGAAGAACUAUUGCAAAAUCUUUCCGAUGCUCUAAACUUGUCGGUACCUGAUAAAAUUGGGGUUGUACUUGCGUUGUCUAAUUCUGAAUAACACGAUAUAUUCACUAUGCCUGGAUGUGUGGUUAGUUAUUUUCUUCUUUGUACAUACAUUUAGAUAUAAUUUUUUGUUUAGUUGUAGGAAGUGGAAUACAUACAACAGUUUAUAAUUUUUAUCUCUUUGGGAUUCUUCUACAUGCUGCACUAAACCUGUAACCCUUUUCUUGGUUGUAUGCAGGAAAGACUUUGUGUUUGAGUUUAGGGUUGUUUGAGUCAGAUCACAGAGCAAUCAUGCUGCGUUUGAGGCUCCUGAGAUAAUUCAGCAUAUUCUAGUGUUACUCGUAGUCGAUUUGAAGGCCUCUCUAAGCAUUUAGAUUCAUUCUUGCAUAAAUAGACUAGAAAGUACUUAGUCGAUCUAAAGGUCGAGGGUGGUAGGGGGCGACUGAGUUCUUAACAUAAAAGAAACCAGUGGAAAGGAUGGAAAACUGAAGAUCCUAUUGCAUAAAUAGACUAGAAAGUACUUAGUCGAUCUAAAGGUCGAGGGUGGUAGGGGGCGACUGAGUUCUUAACAUAAAAGUAACCAGUGGAAAGGAUGGAAAACUGAAGGCACAAGUCUAUUUAUUGAUUUUUGAGCUUGCUUUGCUUGAUCAUUUGCUUCUUGGUUGUUGCACCUAUAUUUUUCUGCUUAUUUAAUUCAUUCGUUGCUGCAUUUUGCAGAUUUAUAAUUAAUCUGUUAAAUAUAUUAUAUUUUUGUGAGUUAUACUGUGGCUGACGUUUUUAUUCUUUUUCUAAUCCACUAUUUGCUGUCUUGCUGCUCUAUAAAUAAUACAUACAUAGUAUCCUAUUUUUCUUUAUCUCAUAUGCCUGUACAAAUAUGUGCUAUAUUAGUGUUUCUUUGAUAUAUAAACCCCCAUUGAUUGUCAAAUCUUGGCAUCUUAAUAUAUGCUUUUACAGGCUCUUUCCCAAGUACUUACUAGACACAUUUGCUUUUUACUUUCGCAUUAGUUUGCUGAACUUGCAUCUAAAAAAGAAAUCAUGGGCCUUGGAAGCUGGUUGAGCACUCAAUUGAGUCUAUAACAAAUGUUCUUGCAUUGCUGAAAAAAUGUUUGGUAUAGAUUCAAGAGAGUUAAAUGCUCCCACCGAGGCAAGUUACCCGAAGGGCCAACUGGAACGUAAUACAAAGCGCUUGGCAGAUGUCGUCUCAGAUGCUUCAAAUUUUCGGUCAUUCAUUAUGAUAAACUUUAGGGAAGCUUUAGCAGCAAUCUUUCUACUCCCUCAUGGAGAGUUUGUAUCUGGCUGGUGAUCGUCUAACGUUCUAGUUUGUGAAGAGGAUGCACCAUUAGAUGUACCUCGUUCAUCUUAUGCUCAUCAGAAAACGUCUUUGUUGAUUAAAGUGAUUGCAAACCUUCAUUGCUUUGUUCCUGAUGUAUACCAGGAUGAGAAAGAUCUGUUUCUCAACAUGUUCAUUCGGUUAAUAGAGAAGGACUAUCAGAAACUGUCAGCAUUUUGGUAUGCGAGAAGGUACUAGGUUUCCCAGCAGGAAAGACUUUGUGUUUGAGGCAGAUUACAGAGCAAUCAUACUGCGUUUGAGGCUACUGAGAUAAUUCAGCAUAUUCUAGUGUUACUCGUAGUUGAUUUGAAGGCCUCUCUAAGCAUUUAGAUUCAUUCUUGCUAAUGUUAUCUCUUGUGCUGCAAGUUGUUUUCUGUGAUUGUUCCUAGUGCAUAAAUAGACUAGAUAGUACUUAGUCGAUCUGAAGGUCGAGGGUAGUAGGGGCCGACUGAGUUCUUAACUUAAAAGAAGCGGGGGGAAGGGUCGAAAAAUGAAGGCACGAGUCUAUUUAUUGAUUUUUGAGCUUGCUUUGCUUGAUCUUCUGUUUCUUGGUUGGUGCGCUUAUAUUUUUCUACUUAUUUAAUUCAUUCUUUGCUGCAUUUUGCAGCUUUAUAAUUAAUCUGUAAUAUAUAUAUAUAUAUAUACAUAUAUAAUAUUAUAUUUUUAUGUGUUAUACGACGUUUUUCUACUUUUUCUAAUCCACUAUUCUCUUCUUUGUACAUACAUACAGAUAUAAUUUUUGUUUAGUUGUAGGAAGUGGAAUACAUACAACAGUUUAUAAUUUUUGUGUCCUUGGAAUUCUUCUACAUGUUGCACUACUAAACCUGUAACCCUUUUCUUGGCUGUAUGCAGGAAAGAAUUUCUGUGACUUAGAUUACUGAGUUGUGUGAGUUGUGUGCCAAUUCUGUUACGUUUGAGGCUUCUGAUGUAAUUUAGCAUAUUCUCGUGUCACUCUUAGUCGAUUUGAAGGCCUCUCUAAGCAUUUGGAUUCAUUCUAUUUGAAGGCCUCUCUAAGCAUUUAGAUUCAUUCUUUCCAAUGUUCUCUUGUGCAACUAAGGUGUUUUCUAUGAUAGUUCCUAGUGCAUAAAUAGAGUAGAAUAUACUUAGUCGAUCUGAAGGUCGGGGGUGGUAGGUGGCAACUGAGUUUUUAACUUAUAAGAAAUGGGGGAAGGUGUGGAAAAUAGAAGGCACAAGUCUAUUUAUUGGUUUUAGAGCUUGCUUUGCUUGGUCUUCUGCUUCCUGGUUGUUGCGCCUAUAUUUUUCUACUUAUUUUAUUCAUUCUUUGCUGUCUUUUGCAGCUAUAUAAUUAAACUGUUACAUAUAUUAAAUUUUUGUUUGUUAUACUGUGCUUGACGUUUUUCAUCUUUUUCUAAUCCAAUUUUUGCUACCUUGCAGCAUAAUUAAUUAAUACAUGCAUAGUAUCCUAUUUUUCUUUGUCUCCUAUGCCGUGUACAAAUAUGUGCAAUAUUAGUGUUUCUUAGAUAUGUAAACCCCAUCGAUUGUCAAAUCUUGGCUUCUUAAUAUAUCUGUUAAACGCUUUUACAGGCUCUUUCCCAAGUAAAGUUACUUACUAGACACAUUUCCUUUUUACUUUGGCAUUCAGUUUGCUGUAUUGCAUCUAAAAAAGAAAUCAUGGGCCUUGGAAGCUGGUGGAGCAAUCAAUGAGUGUCAAGUAAAGAUACUUUCUAUAAGGAUCAGUCAUUAAGCAUCAAUGUGUGACUCGCCUUACGUGGGGUAUUGCUUUACGAGCUGUUUUAGAUGCUUUGAGGAAGCCUGCAGAUUCAGAAGUUUGUUCCUUCCUAGUUUAUCAGUUAAUGUUAUUAUUGUGAAUUUCAGUCUUACCUUGGAUUUAUGACAUUCCUUUGGGAGUAUGGCAUUGGAGCAGUUUGUGGACCAUCUCAUUGAGUGGCCACAGUAUGCCAUCAUAUCCUGCACUUUGUAGCAUUUAUAGAUAGGGCACUCAACAGUAUUUCGGCGGCUUAUACUGAACGUGAUGUUGGCCAUACUGCCAAUACUGAUCACCGACACGGUCAUAUUAAAUCUUCAGCUCCACAUAUAGAGAUUGCAGGCCCAUCAUUUUCUCUGAUCGGACCCAGCAGCAAUUGUCUGGAUUAGCAAUUCCCUCUUCGAUCCCACUGCAACAGAGACCACCAAGUUCUCAGAGUUCACUCCUAAUUACAUGAAUCCAUCACAACACACCUACCCUUCCUAAGUCACUCAGUGGUGCUUUGCUGUCAUACAAUCUGCCUCGUCGGAUUUCCAUGGUUUUCUAGAUCAACCUCAGCAAGUAAAUAAUCAGGUUUAACUGUGCUACUCUCUCUCACUGUGCGCUUUAUGGAUUACAUUAACAUGGGGACUGGUUUUACAACUAUGAGAAGAGAAACUCCCAUUGAGGUGAUUGGAUGUAGCUGUCUUAUCAUUUUUAAUUCUCUGUUUACACUUUGUUUCGAUCCUUUUGGUUUUCCUAUGCUUUUACUCUGACGAUUUUCUUCCUUGUUAUGAGUUCGCAAUUACAAGUUCUAUUAAUAGCACAUUUAACUUUAUCCCACUGGUUAACUAAAAUCUCACACUUCUAAAUUCUUUCUUAACUCCCGAUUACUUUCUCGUUUUCCUUUUCCCCUUUUGUUUCUUUAUUAUUUGUUUUCUUCCCUGUGCAAUGGAGGCGCUCUGAUUCUGGUUCAGGCUGUCAUGAACUUAAAGUUAUCGUGCUCAGACAAUAUUUCCUCAUACAUGGCUGUUAUCUCCUGCCUAAAAUCUAAAGCUUUAUCUAUUCUUUUGCAACUCUGUGAAGCUGAAGUGUAUCAUAUACCUGGAUGAGGUGGCCAGCAACACAGCAACUCAGGAUAUGGCAAAGUCAGUUGGACUCGAGGUUCUUGCAUUGCUGAAAAAAGCUUGGUAUAGAUUCAAGACAGUUAAAUGCUCCCUCCGAGGCAAGUUACCGAACAGGCAACUGGAGCUUAAGACAAAGCUCUUGGCAGAUGCCUUCUCAAAUGCUUCAAAUUAUCUGUCAUUCAUCAUGAAUUGUGUUUAGUGUUUGUAUUUUGUGUAUUGUGUAGUGUUUUUUUGUAUGCAUGUGUAAAGUGUGUUUGCGUAGUGUAGGUAUUUUUGUGUAUUUUGUGUAUAGUUUAUCUAGUACAGUGUGUUUUGUUGUGUGCGGACACUAUGUGUAUUUUAUGUAUAGUGUGUGAAUUUUACGUGUAGUAUAUUUUGUGUAUAGUGUGUGAUUUUUACGUGUAUUGUAUAGUAUGUUUAGGAAUACUUUGUGUAGUGUAUGUAUACUUUGUGUGAAGUGUGUGCAGUACAUGUAUAUUGUGAGUAUAGUGUACGUUGAGUAUAUUUUGUCUAUACUGUAUGUGUAAAAGUGUGUUAUUUAUUUUUUGUAGUGUGUUCAGUUUAUGUAUUUGUGAACUGAGUGUAUAUUUUGUGUAUAUUUUAAGUAUGAUGUACAAUAUAUGUAGCGUGCAUCUAUGUUUGCAGCGCAUGUAUUUUGUGUAUAGUGUGUAGUAUGUCUAUAAUGUCUAUAUAGAAUGUGUGGCAUAGUGCGUGUUUUUUUGUGUAGUGAGCAUGUGUGUUAUUGUGCGUGGUGUAUAUACUUUGCGUACAAUGUGAACUUUGUGUUAUGAUGUAUAGCAUGUAUAUAGUAAGCAAUGUGUAUGAAGUGUGUUAUUUUUUGUUUA